AGUGAACGCUGGCGGUAGGCCUAACACAUGCAAGUCGAACGGCAGCACAGUAAGAGCUUGCUCUUACGGGUGGCGAGUGGCGGACGGGUGAGGAAUACAUCGGAAUCUACUUUUUCGUGGGGGAUAACGUAGGGAAACUUACGCUAAUACCGCAUACGACCUACGGGUGAAAGCAGGGGAUCUUCGGACCUUGCGCGAUUGAAUGAGCCGAUGUCGGAUUAGCUAGUUGGCGGGGUAAAGGCCCACCAAGGCGACGAUCCGUAGCUGGUCUGAGAGGAUGAUCAGCCACACUGGAACUGAGACACGGUCCAGACUCCUACGGGAGGCAGCAGUGGGGAAUAUUGGACAAAGGGCGCAAGCCUGAUCCAGCCAUACCGCGUGGGUGAAGAAGGCCUUCGGGUUGUAAAGCCCUGUUGUUGGGAAAGAAAAGCAGCAGGUUAAUACCCCGCUGUUCUGACGGUACCCAAAGAAUAAGCACCGGCUAACUUCGUG
rnacentral:rRNA from 1 species